rnacentral:piRNA from 1 species
UCAAUGUUGAUGACAUCGUUUCUCAAUCCAG